rnacentral:tRNA from 1 species
AGCAUAGUAGCUCAGGUGGUAGAGCGCCCGUUGUGUAAAAAUGGAGGACCCUAGAUCGAAACUAGGCUACUAAUGCUA